AGUCGACGAUGAAUCUUCUAGCUUGCUAGAAGUGGAUUAGUGGCGCACGGGUGAGUAAUGCGUAGGUUAUGUGCCCUUUAGUCUGGGAUAGCCACUGGAAACGGUGAUUAAUACUGGAUACUCCCUACGGGGGAAAGUUUUUCGCUAAAGGAUCAGCCUAUGUCCUAUCAGCUUGUUGGUGAGGUAAUGGCUCACCAAGGCUAUGACGGGUAUCCGGCCUGAGAGGGUGAUCGGACACACUGGAACUGAGACACGGUCCAGACUCCUACGGGAGGCAGCAGUAGGGAAUAUUGCUCAAUGGGGGAAACCCUGAAGCAGCAACGCCGCGUGGAGGAUGAAGGUUUUAGGAUUGUAAACUCCUUUUGUUAGAGAAGAUUAUGACGGUAUCUAACGAAUAAGCACCGGCUAACUCCGUGCCAGCAGCCGCGGUAAUACGGAGGGUGCAAGCGUUACUCGGAAUCACUGGGCGUAAAGAGUGCGUAGGCGGGGUAAUAAGUCAGAUGUGAAAUCCUGUAGCUUAACUACAGAACUGCAUUUGAAACUGUUACUCUGGAGUGUGGGAGAGGUAGGUGGAAUUCUUGGUGUAGGGGUAAAAUCCGUAGAGAUCAAGAGGAAUACUCAUUGCGAAGGCGACCUGCUGGAACAUUACUGACGCUGAUGCACGAAAGCGUGGGGAGCAAACAGGAUUAGAUACCCUGGUAGUCCACGCCCUAAACGAUGGAUGCUAGUUGUUGCCUUGCUUGUCAGGGCAGUAAUGCAGCUAACGCAUUAAGCAUCCCGCCUGGGGAGUACGGUCGCAAGAUUAAAACUCAAAGGAAUAGACGGGGACCCGCACAAGCGGUGGAGCAUGUGGUUUAAUUCGAAGAUACGCGAAGAACCUUACCUAGGCUUGA
rnacentral:rRNA from 1 species